rnacentral:rRNA from 1 species
GAUGAACGCUGGCGGCGUGCUUAACACAUGCAAGUCGAACGAACCCGACCUUCGGGUCAUAUGGGUGAGUGGCGAACGGGUGAGUAACACGUGAGAAACCUGCCCCAAAGUUUGGAAUAACUCAGGGAAACUUGAGCUAAUACCAGAUGCCCUUUUCGGAUCGAGUGGUCUGAUAAGGAAAGAUUUAUCGCUUUGGGAGGGUCUCGCGGCCUAUCAGCUUGUUGGUGAGGUAAUGGCUCACCAAGGCAUUGACGGGUAGCUAGUCUGAGAGGACGAAUAGCCACACUGGGACUGAGACACGGCCCAGACUCCUACGGGAGGCAGCAGUGGGGAAUCUUGCACAAUGGGCGAAAGCCUGAUGCAGCGACGCCGCGUGGGGGAUGAAGGCCCUAGGGUCGUAAACCCCUUUCAGUGGGGACGAAAAUGACGGUACCCACAGAAGAAGGUCCGGCCAACUACG